rnacentral:snRNA from 1 species
AUCACUUCUUGGCUUUUUACUAAGAUGAAGUGUAGUAUCUGUUCUUAUUGGUUAAAUAUCUGAUACAUCUUCAUCUGAGGACAAUGUAUUAAAUGGCUUUUUAGAGCAUGGAGAUAGGCUUGGAGCUUUUUCCAUCUAUACCAAGUUUUGACCUGCUAUUGGUGUAAUUCCAGGAAUGGUGCAAAUCCA